CGGCAGUUUCCUAUUUUUUUUUUGUCGGCAGUUUCCUAAUUCUAUACGAUAAAAGCUUGUUGUGCAUUUUUAUUUAUUUUUUUAGUAAGUGGCAUAAUUGUAAUUUUUCAUCAUCUUCUCCAGAAUUUUUUUUUAGGGUUUAAACACUGUAAACCUAUUUUCAUGGCGGCCAUCAACUAUUUCCUUGUAAAUUAUCAAAUUGUUGUGUGAUUACGUAUCAGUUAUGUCUCAAAUACAUAGAUCUGUCGUAAAACAUCAGUUUUAAACAUUCAAAACUCAAAAAAAAAAAAUCGCGACCUUCGAUUUGCUUGCCGCCUAUGACGAAAUCACUAUGCCCAAGCACAGCUCAAUAUCUCGCUAAGCGCAGCGCUUAAUCGGGUGCCUUACGAGAAUUUUCGAACAUGACCCUUGUCUUAAUUUUUGUAGUCUCAGACGAGUAAGUGGAAUGAAGGAAAUC
rnacentral:lncRNA from 1 species